rnacentral:rRNA from 1 species
GACGAAGGGGGCUAGCGUUGUUCGGAAUUACUGGGCGUAAAGCGCGUGUAGGCGGUUGCCCAAGUCGGGUGUGAAAGCCUUGAGCUCAACUCAAGAAAUGCACUCGGUACUGGGUGACUAGAGGACCGGAGAGGAUAGUGGAAUUCCCAGUGUAGUGGUGAAAUACGUAGAGAUUGGGAAGAACACCAGUGGCGAAGGCGGCUAUCUGGACGGUUUCUAACGCUAAGACGCGAAAGCGUGGGGAGCAAACAGG